GGAGUUAUAGCUCAGAGGUAGAGCAUUUGCCUUAUACAUGUGAGGCACUGGGUUCGAUUCCCAGCACCA
rnacentral:tRNA from 1 species